rnacentral:tRNA from 1 species
ACUAAUAUGGCGGAGUUAUACGCGGUAGUUCUAAGAUCUGUUUACGGGAUAUUUAAUCUCUAUUAGUA